rnacentral:rRNA from 1 species
UACGUAGGGUGCGAGCGUUGUCCGGAAUCAUUGGGCGUAAAGAGCUCGUAGGCGGUUCAGCAAGUCGGCUGUGAAAUUCCGAGGCUCAACCUCGGAACUGCAGUCGAUACUGCUGUGACUCGAGUCCGGUAGAGGAGAAUGGAAUUCCCGGUGUAGCGGUGAAAUGCGCAGAUAUCGGGAGGAAUACCAGUGGCGAAGGCGGCCUUCUGGGCCGUUCCUGACGCUCAGACGCGAAAGCGUGGGUAGCGAACGGG